rnacentral:misc_RNA from 1 species
AGUAGUUCUAUCCCAUCCAUCACUACACAAUACAAUGACACAUAGGUAAGUCAGCUGCCACAUAUAACUUCCAACUUUGUGCUAAAACUACCUUAAAUGACAUUCUUUUAGAUCUUUUGGAUUCCAAACAUCUUGACACUGCCUUCUCUUUAACAGUAUGUAAGCAUAGAAGAAGACUCAUCAGUUAACUAAGAAUUUAAACUAGAUUAUUGGAAAAAUGACAAAGAACUUAAAUUUAAAGAGAAAAGAACAACAGGCAGCAUGUAG